UACGGGGGGGGGCAAGCGUUAAUCGGAAUUACUGGGCGUAAAGGGCGCGUAGGCGGCCCGCUAAGUCGAACGUGAAAUCCCCGAGCUCAACUCGGGAACUGCGUCCGAUACUGGCGGGCUUGAAUCCGGGAGAGGGAUGCGGAAUUCCAGGUGUAGCGGUGAAAUGCGUAGAUAUCUGGAGGAACACCGAUGGCGAAGGCGGCAUCCUGGACCGGCAUUGACGCUGAGGCGCGAAAGCUAGGGGAGCAAACGGG
rnacentral:rRNA from 1 species